UCAAAGAUUAAGCCAUGCAUGUCUCAGUACGAGCCAAAUUAAGGUGAAACCGCGAAAGGCUCAUUAAAUCAGUUAUGGUUCCUUAGAUCGUACCAAAGUUACUUGGAUAACUGUGGUAAUUCUAGAGCUAAUACAUGCAAACAGAGCUCCGACCGGAGACGGAAGGAGUGCUUUUAUUAGAUCAAAACCGAUCGGCGGCGGGUUGGUGACUCUGAAUAACUUUACGCCGAUCGCACGGUCAUCGCACCG
rnacentral:rRNA from 1 species